GUAAAAGAGAAAUAAUGGGCACCUCUCCUGGCUUCAGUUUCAUAAUCUGCUCAGUAACAGCGUUGGUUGGUCAGGAUCAUGACCCAGCUCCGCAUUCCCUGCUCUCUGGCUCUAAGACUAACCGUCCUGCAUUAGGCAGAGGCAGUGUGAUCACUACUCCAGGUCAACAGCGCUGCUAUUUACUAAAGCGAUGCCUCGGUGAUUACUCCUCCAAACCCAGGUCUGCACCUGUCAUUCACAGCAUAGGAGGUAAGGGCCCCAACAAGGAGACUUCAAAGAAGAGGAAAGAAAAAAAAAAGAAAGAGGAUGUAGUGAAAAAAGGACUACAUGGCCCUAGUUGGCAGAGGAUAUGGGGGAUACAAACAAAAGAAAAGAUAUGGAAGUUACCAUUUUGCUGAAAAGACUGGACAAUUCAUAAAACAAUCCAUGGGCUGCUCUGAGAGGGGCCAGGAAGUCACUUAGCCUUAUAGGACCUCGAGUUCUUCACUACUACCACUGAGAAGGACACAACUAGCCUGUUUAUCUUGCAGAGAAUGGAGGUCCCAAGAAUCCCUGCAAGUCUUACGAGCCCUUCCCAGGUGCACAAACCAGCAUUUAUAAUUAGGAAUCUGGCCUAUAGACAAUGUGUAACCCCUGGAGAUUUUGAGUUGGAUUAAAAG